rnacentral:rRNA from 1 species
GACGAGGAGCUUGCUCCUUUGACGUUAGCGGCGGACGGGUGAGUAACACGUGGGUAACCUACCUAUAAGACUGGGAUAACUUCGGGAAACCGGAGCUAAUACCGGAUAAUAUUUCGAACCGCAUGGUUCGAUAGUGAAAGAUGGCUUUGCUAUCACUUAUAGAUGGACCUGCGCCGUAUUAGCUAGUUGGUAAGGUAACGGCUUACCAAGGCAACGAUACGUAGCCGACCUGAGAGGGUGAUCGGCCACACUGGAACUGAGACACGGUCCAGACUCCUACGGGAGGCAGCAGU